rnacentral:lncRNA from 1 species
GGCCAUUCCAACCAUGGUUUUAAAAAUUGGAUCGGACCAGUCGGUCAUGGUUCGAUUUGGUUCGAUAGGUUGAGCCGUCGAAGGGUUGGAUCGGCAUCGAAUUGGGUGAAUCAGCGAUCGGACCAGCAAACUGGACGAGCUAGCCAAUUCCCUCUGGAUUGCACGGUUCAACCCAUUUUUUCUUUCCCCUCUCAUCAAAAUGACGUCGUUUUGAUGCUUUUGGCCACGAAACGACUUCGUUUUAAUAACUAUAAAAGCUUUCUUUUUCUUUCCCCCGCCCCAGCUGUUGCAAACCCUACCCGUCGUCCCUUCCCACAGCCCAGGCUACCACUGCCAGCUCUCCACCCAGUCGCCGCUGGUGCUGGUUCCACUAGACCCGCUUGCCAUCGCUGCUGAGGACCCCCCCCUCCCCCAACUGCUGCAAACCCUACCCACCGUCCCUCCCCACAGAACAAGUUGCCACUGCCAGCCCCACAACCCAGGCUGCCACUGCCAGCCAGUCGCCGCCAGUGCUGGUUCUGCUGGACUCACUGGUCGCCAUUGACGAUUUUGGUGGCUGUGACCGUAACUUUUCAGUUUUUAUUUUUCUACUUUAAUAUUUAAUAUUUUUACAUUUCAUAUUUAAUAUUUAAUGAUUUAAUUUUUGUUCGAUGUAUAAUUUUUGUUGAUUAAAAU